AGAGCUGGCCGUGGGGGAAGAGCAAUGGUGUGCGGAGGUGGGGGAGGCCCUAUCUAGGGACAAGCAGAAAACUUAGGGUGGGCAGAUCCCCCCGACCCCUGUGCAGGGGCUGCCGGAGACCAGAGAGGCUGCUGUGUGACCUGGACCAAGCCCCUUGCCCUCUCAUGCCUCAGUUUCCCCUUCUCUCCACGGAGGGAUUGAGCAGGACAUGGAGGGCCCCUUCCAGUAGCCAUUCUGGGACUCCCUGCACCUGUCCCCAGGGGAGGGUCCUGAGCUGGCCUCCACGUGGCUGCUGUUCCCCAUAGUGGAACCUUGUGUGUGGAGACGGCUGGAAGGUCCCGCUGGAGCAGGUGAGCCACCUCCUGGGCUGGCUGCUGGGCUGUGUCAUCCUGGGAGCAGGCUGUGACCGGUUUGGACGCCGGGCAGUUUUUGUGGCCUCCCUGGUGCUGACCACAGGCCUGGGGGCCAGUGAGGCCCUGGCUGCCAGCUUCCCUACCCUGCUGGUCCUGCGCCUACUCCACGGGGGCACAUUGGCAGGGGCCCUCCUCGCCCUGUAUCUGGCUCGCCUGGAGUUGUGUGACCCUCCCCACCGCCUGGCCUUCUCCAUGGGGGCUGGCCUUUUCUCGGUGGUGGGCACCCUGCUGCUGCCCGGCCUGGCUGCGCUUGUGCAGGACUGGCGUCUUCUGCAGGGGCUGGGUGCCCUGAUGAGUGGACUCUUGCUGCUCUUUUGGGGGUUCCCGGCCCUGUUCCCCGAGUCUCCCUGCUGGCUGCUGGCCACAGGUCAGGUAGCUCGAGCCAGGAAGAUCCUGUGGCGCUUUGCAGAAGCCAGUGGCGUGGGCCCCGGGGACAGUUCCUUGGAGGAGAACUCCCUGGCUACAGAGCUGACCAUGCUGUCUGCACGGAGCCCCCAGCCCCGGUACCACUCCCCACUGGGGCUUCUGCGUACCCGAGUCACCUGGAGAAACGGGCUUAUCUUGGGCUUCAGCUCGCUGGUUGGUGGAGGCAUCAGAGCUAGCUUCCGCCGCAGCCUGGCACCUCAGGUGCCGACCUUCUACCUGCCCUACUUCCUGGAGGCCGGCCUGGAGGCGGCAGCCUUGGUCUUCCUGCUCCUGACGGCAGAUUGCUGUGGACGCCGCCCCGUGCUGCUGC
rnacentral:lncRNA from 1 species